GGGGGUGUAGCUCAGUGGUAGAGUGCAUGCCUAGUGUGCAAGAGGCCUGGGUUCCCGCCCCAGCACUACAA
rnacentral:tRNA from 1 species